rnacentral:rRNA from 1 species
CAGCCGCCGCGGGAACACGAAGGGUGCAAGCGUUACUCGGAAUUACUGGGCGUAAAGCGUGUGUAGGUGGUUGUUUAAGUCUGUCGUGAAAGCCCUGGGCUCAACCUGGGAAUUGCGAUGGAUACUGGGCGACUAGAGUGCGGUAGAGGAUAGUGGAAUUUCCGGUGUAGCAGUGAAAUGCGUAGAGAUCGGAAGGAACAUCUGUGGCGAAGGCGACUAUCUGGGCCAACACUGACACUGAGACACGAAAGCGUGGGGAGCAAACAGGAUUAGAUACCCGGGUAGUCCCUGUCUCUUAUAC